CAUAUCAAUAAGCGGAGGAAAAGAAACUAACAAGGAUUCCCCUAGUAACUGCGAGUGAAGCGGGAAGAGCUCAAAUUUGAAAUCUGGCGGCUUUUGGCUGUCCGAGUUGUAAUCUAGAGAAGUGUUACCUGUGCAGGACCGUGUAUAAGUCUCCUGGAAUGGAGCAUCAUAGAGGGUGAGAAUCCCGUCUUAGACAUGGACUACCUGUACAUUAUGGUGCGCUCUCAAAGAGUCGAGUUGUUUGGGAAUGCAGCUCAAAACGGGUGGUAAAUGCCAUCUAAAGCUAAAUAUUGGCGAGAGACCGAUAGCGAACAAGUACCGUGAGGGAAAGAUGAAAAGAACUUUGGAAAGAGAGUUAAACAGUACGUGAAAUUGCUGAAAGGGAAACGCUUGAAGUCAGUCGCGUUGACUGGAAAUCAGCCUUGCUCUUGCUUGGUGUACUUUCUGGUUGACGGGUCAGCAUCAAUUUUGACCACUGGAUAAAGUCUUUGGGAAUGUGGCAUCUUUGGAUGUGUUAUAGCCCUGGGUCGCAUACAGUGAUUGGGAUUGAGGAACUCAGCACGCCGCAAGGCCGGGUUUCGACCACGUUCGUGCUUAGGAUGCUGGCAUAAUGGCUUUAAUCGACCCGUCUUGAAACACGGACCAAGGAGUCUAACAUGCCUGCGAGUGUUUGGGUGGAAAACCCAUGCGCGUAAUGAAAGUGAAAGUUGAGAUCCCUUCAGGGAGCAUUGACGCCCGGACCAGACCUUUUGUGACGGAUCCGCGGUAGAGCAUGUAUGUUGGGACCCGAAAGAUGGUGAACUAUGCCUGAAUAGGGUGAAGCCAGAGGAAACUCUGGUGGAGGCUCGUAGCGAUUCUGACGUGCAAAUCGAUCGUCAAAUUUGGGUAUAGGGGCGAAAGACUAAUCGAACC
rnacentral:rRNA from 1 species